AUCUCAAAUCAGGUAGGACUACCCGCUGAACUUAAGC
rnacentral:rRNA from 2 species